rnacentral:rRNA from 1 species
GACGUAGGGCGCGAGCGUUGUCCGGAUUUAUUGGGCGUAAAGAGCUCGUAGGCGGCUUGUUGCGUCGGCUGUGAAAACCCAUGGCUCAACCGUGGGCUUGCAGCCGAUACGGGCAGGCUAGAGUUCGGUAGGGGAGACUGGAAUUCCUGGUGUAGCGGUGAAAUGCGCAGAUAUCAGGAGGAACACCGGUGGCGAAGGCGGGUCUCUGGGCCAUGACUGACGCUGAGGAGCGAAAGCGGUAGGGGAGCAAACGGG